GCGACUAUAAUGGUCGCUACAGAAGGUAAACAUUUAGUGGCGAGUUUUCUUAGGUCGCUUCUAAUACGUUCAGCUAAAUACUAAAUUUCUUAUUCCCGCUAAGACCAAAAUUCUGGCUUCAAAGUUUUGUAGCGACUUUUAUACGGUUGCCUCUGAAGGUUUUUAUGUGGCGAAUCAGUGGCCGCUAACACUAAUUAAAAGUAUAUAAAAAAAUCCACUCCUAUUAUUAAAUGAAAAAAAAUCACAGAUUGGUGUAGGUCUUCUUCUCCUUGCUCGUUGCUCUCUAAAACUUUUCCCACUCAAUUUCCUCUCUUAUCAAAUCUCUCGAAUCUAACUGCUCAAAUCACAAAUUGUGACCCAUCUGAUAGCAAAGCAAAAGCCCUAAUCAAAAAAUGUGACUCCAUCAGGUAUGUGCUCUAAUCUUAAACUCAAAUUCCUUUUCGGUGGUAUAUACAGUUAGCGAGAAUGAUAAUUUCAACGAUUUCACAUAGGAUUUUCACAGACUUCACCUAUAAUUUCUCUGACCCAGUUGAAAAACUAUAGGAACGAAAAGAAAUUCAUACAAUAACAAUCCAUGGUGAGGAGUCAGCGGGGAUUUUGGGUUUUCAGUCUGAUGCUCAACUUUUCUCGGCCUCCGAAAAAAAUUAGUAAACUAUUUUUUGAUCCGCUGUCUUGAUAACACUCUCCAAUCUCUCCCUAUCUCUUUCUCUAGCAAAAUCGAGUAGUAAUUCUGUAUUAAUCAUAAAAGUUGGGUUGUUCUUUUCUUGGUAGCAGAAGCACGAACAUUCGUAGUUUUUGGGUUUUUUUUUUUUUUUUUAUUUUUUUAGGGUUAUUGUUGUUUCAGUUUGUUCUGUUAGUAGAGAAAGGAACUAAGAGUAUUUGUAUUGGCGGAAAGAGGAGGAAUAAAAGUUCAGGUAGUGAUUGAGAGAACAUUGAAGGAAAUAUCAAAUGGUAAUUUUGUUCUUGACAUGAAGAAUAAAUGUGGUGUUGGAGGUAUUGAGGUUAUGUUUUUAGAAGAUAGAGCUACUGAAGAUUAGCCUAUCACCCCAUGAACCUUUUCUGUUGCCAGGUAAUCCAAACUAUUUGUUGACUAAUUCUUUGAUUGUCUAGCUUUCGCUUAACGUUGCUAUGGACUGUGUUAACUUUUCCUGCUAUACCCCAAAAGAAUAUGAUAGUGCUUCAUAUUUAAUUGUGCAAUAUUUAGUUAUCUAUAAACUAAAAUAGUGGGAUGUAAUGUGUAGUUGAAAAUAGUGUUAUUAUCCUCUUUUUUCUUUAGAUUAAGUUCUAUUCAGUUAGUUUCCUGCUCCAGGAGAACCAUUUAGUUAUCAUUGAUUUAUGCAGCUGGAUUUAUUAAUUAAUGGGUGUUUGGUUAUGAAAAUAAUUGAUUUAGUUUAUGUGAAGUUGUCAACUAUUAGUCCUUCUUGACAGUCAUCUUUAUAGAGUUGUGUUGAUAUAACUUUUUAUGGGAUUCACACUACAACAAAGGACUUGCCUUCCCUGUGGUGGAGAGAGAUGCUAUCACGCGACCUUCUACCUCAUAAUUCUUCAGGUCAAGAACUUGCCUUCUCUGUUUCAAGCCAAGAACUUCAGGUCAUUUCAUAAUUCUUGACUUAUAACCUUGAGUUCGUUCUUCCAUUUCCACUCAUAAUAAGACUGGUAAUAUUUUCUGUCAAAUAUCAGGAGAAGAAAUUAAUGCACAAUUUCUUUCAAUAUUAAGUUUCCUCGUAAGGAUACAUGGCUAUGUGGUUCUUCAGGUAGUCUUACCUCUCACUAUAGCAGUGAAAAUUUCACAUCAUGUUCAUUAUAUGAACUUAAAUGGAGUUGGUAUGAGGUUAGAGAUAGCAUGGUUAUAUUGUCCAUCACGUUAAUGGAAUUACCUUGUAGCAUGGCUAUAUGGUCAUAUAUGUUUAAUUUUCUCGUUCUCCUUUUUAUUUUAUCAUGUUUUUUCCUUUUUGUGCCCUCUAGAACAAAUGAUUUAAGCUCCCAUUUUUGUCAAUUGUACAUUUAAAAUCCUUUUACAGUAAGUCUAAGGGAAUACAAUUCCAUUAAAAUAUUACUUGACUAUUCUAUGUUAUUUCAUGAUGAGUCUACUUUGUCACCAGACCAAUGGGUGAUUUUAUGUCUAUGCUGCUAAAAUUCUGCUGAUAACGUAUUAUUCCAAUGCUCGGGAAAGAAAUAAAAAGUUAUCUUACAAGUUUCUUAUCGAUUAUUCCAUGUGCUGGAACUUUUUAUCCAAGUCAUUAUUGUUACUGAUGGAGAGCGAAUAUUACGACGUGGUAAUCUUGGUUGUCAGGUAAAUCUUUUAAAUUCUACUAGCUAUUAGAUUUGUUUUCUAAUAGUGUGUUAUUUGAACAAUUGGAUGGAACUAAUUAGAGAGACAAUACUGACUAUCUCUUACUUUACUUGUACACGGUACCAUGUUGAUAACAUACUUGACCGAAAGUUCCAAUGUAGUUUCAGGGAAUUAUUAUAGUGCUCUUGGAGGUGUUCGUCCCUCAUCCUGAUUAUGUUAGUAUUACUAGCAUUACCAUUUAUGUGUUUUCUUUUUUAUUUUCAUUCUUACUGUUAUUACUAAUCUCAUACAUUCUCUUUUUGAACAAAAGUAUCGAUAAGAGGCUCAACUUUUUUUCCAUUUCCCUUCUCUGCUAUCUCUUUCUUGGUCUUUAGAUUUUAUGCUAUAUUCCUAAUUAAAUCGGGGUAGUCUCUCAUCUAUCUCUUUCUCGGUCUUCAAGUUCUCAUUUUUUUAGCAACUUUUUGGUACCUUAAUCAUCACAGUAAUUUUUUGUUGAUUAGCUUAUUGAUCUUAAUAGAGUUGGGAUCGGCUGUGUUUAUUUACUUUGACAAAAAGCUAAAAAGAGGUGAAUGUUACGCCAACUGAUAAUUGUAGUACCAGUUGAUUCAUUUGUGUGUGGCCUUUAAUAGAUUAUUUGGAGUUUUGCUGAAUUGAGCUAAGAAUUUUCCAGAAUAAAGUUUAUUGUUCAAUCUAAAAUCAAUCUCCAGAUAAUAGGAGUCCCCAUCAGUUAUUUGUUUAAUGCUCUUUCAUUUCCCCCAUUUUGAUGGAAACUCUUGGCUCUGUUUCGAACCAGUUAUAAUUUUCAUUAUGUCUAUUUGUAUUGUCGAUUCUGUUUUGCACUUUUUUUUUAUGAUCAUAUUUAGUAAUUUAUAAACUUUAUGCAUAAUUAAAUAAGUUUAUUGACACUUGAAGCUUCAACCUAGGAAACUAUAUUGAGUUUUCUUUAAAUUCUCAUGCUUGUGGUAUUUGAGUUUGGUUUUCUAGCUGCUCCACUUUGACCCACUUGGGCAGUUUGAUAGUUUCAAAUUUCUGAGCUUAGUUCGCUUGGCAAAACUAUUUUGUACAACUUUCCUUGGUCAAACUUUUCCUUUGCUUUUUUAAAUGCGUUUUGCAAUCUUUUACUCCAAUCUAUUGGCCAUCCUUUUUUACUAUUAACAUUGAGAAUUGUCAAAGUGAUCUCUUGUUUGUUUUUCUUAAUAACAGGGGUGAGGCUCUUAAUCAAUCACAAUUGUUGUCGACCAUGGAGGAGUUUGAAGGCCCUAAAUCAUAGUUAUUAUUUUUCUUAUCAUAUGUAUAUGAAUACAAUGACAAUGAACGAUGAAGUAUUGUGUAAUACAAAUUAAUUGAUAUUUUGGUAAUGGAAGUAUAUAUAAUAUUCAGUUUGAGAAAUACUUUUGGUA
rnacentral:lncRNA from 1 species